AACCUGCCUGGCAAAAGUUCUCAGUUUUGACAGCUUUUACCACUACUGGGUUGUAUUCCUCCUUGUUUGCAAGAUGGUAUAUUUUCAGGAUUUUGCAAGAUGCAGAAAUGGGUGUACAUUGCUAUUCAGCCUUGAAUCAAGGUGCCUUUGCUCCAGCAGCCUGCCUCCCACCACAAGCACUUCUGGAGGCCAUAUGAGAACUUUGGUACAUGUAAAUGGAUCAGAAGAUCCAGGUUGGAGUCACCCUGGGCUCAUAUGAGUGCCAGCCACCGAAGAGAGUGUACCUCUUGCACCUAGGCUGCUUCCUGAGGAGUGCUGCAGAGCCAGAGAGCGCCUUC